rnacentral:rRNA from 1 species
UACGAAGGGGGCUAGCGUUGCUCGGAAUCACUGGGCGUAAAGGGUGCGUAGGCGGGUCUUUAAGUCAGGGGUGAAAUCCUGGAGCUCAACUCCAGAACUGCCUUUGAUACUGAAGAUCUUGAGUUCGGGAGAGGUGAGUGGAACUGCGAGUGUAGAGGUGAAAUUCGUAGAUAUUCGCAGGAACACCAGUGGCGAAGGCGGCUCACUGGCCCGAUACUGACGCUGAGGCGCGAAAGCGUGGGGAGCAAACAGG